AUUAGCAUCACGCCUGAAGACGACGUUAAACUGACGCACGCACAUAUACAUACUUUCAGCACGCAGGAAUCAGUAGUGGACGUCAAACACGGCCGAAGAUCCGCGUUACGACGGAAAACACAAACAUAUACACAAAAAUCGAAACCGAGACAGAAAACAAAAGCGAGGGCAGAAGGCUGAUUUUGCACGACACCUUCUUUUUGUUUUGUAGCUCGUCUCUUUCUCCAUUCUUCUACUUCUGCUCCCCCUCCCCCCACCUCCUUCAGCACCUCUCUCGUAUCGCAUUCGUCUUGGCCGCGUAUUCCUCAUCCACGGCACCAGCACCACAGGGUUGACGGGAAAAAACUUCAGGCCUUUAUUUUGGUGAUUUUUGUUCCCCCUUCAGCUCUUCGUUUCAGCGAGCGUGCUGCGCAUUUUCUCUGUGCUUCUCAUUCUAUUGCUCAGCGAACCGGGACAGCGGAGUUGUUGUGCGUGCUCAUCGGCACCAACGCAGCUGGUGAUUCAACGUGUGCACUUGCUUGUGAUUGCUGUCACUGGCAUUGAUAUCGUUGCUCUACACAUCUUCUAGAUCGCUUUUUUUUGUUCCUUUCUCUCUCCCCAUAACCAAACACUCAUCGGCCCACGCACCGAUUGACCUACGGCUUGAGUCGUUACCACAAGCUCGAGCGAAAAGCACGUGUUGAUCUCUCAACACCCCCAUCCUUCCUCCCUCUUUCCUCCGUUUCUCUGAACAUUUGCUGAGUACAAAGAACAGCAACGAAAAACAACGAAAGCCAGAAAACGGCUGAAGCAUCGGGAGCACAGAAAAGGAGGCACCUCGGACAGGCACGUGCGCGCAGUGUGAGAGACACAGCACAAAAACUCGCCAUGAAGCUCUUACAUGCUGUCUCUCGUCGGCGCACACUGUUGUGCAUCGCGGUCGUGCUGCUGUUCUUGGCCGUCAUGAUGACCCUUGUGCGUGCCCAGGAGGUGGCGGCUACUGCAACGGAUGCUGCCGGCAAGCCUGUUGCUCAGCAUACUUCGGUGACGACAGCGACUUCCGAGGAGGAGGCCCGAGCCUCCACCGCUGCUGUACAGGCGGCUGAAGCUGAGGCGGCGGCCAUGAGGCAGCUUGAAGCUGAAGAGCAGGCUCGUCGCGAAGAGGAGGAGGAACUCGCAGAGCGUCAGCGUCGCCAGCAGGAGGUGCUGCAGCGCCAGGAGGAUUUGGCAGCGCUUCGUCGCCGCGAAGAGGAACUGGUAGAGCUCCACCGUCGCGAGCAGGAGGAGGAGCGUCGGCGCCAGGAGGAGGAGGAACUCGCAGAGCGUCAGCGCCGCCAGCAGGAGGAGGAGCGUCGACGCCAGGAGGAGGAGGAACUCGCAGAGCGUCAGCGCCGCCAGCAGGAGGAGGAGCGUCGACGCCCAGGAGGAGGGAGGGAGGGAACUCGCAGAGCGUCAGCGCCGCCAGCAGGAGGAGGAGCGUCGACGCCAGGAGGAGGAGGAACUCGCAGAGCGUCAGCGCCGCCAGCAGGAGGAGGAGAGGGCGAAGCGGAGGAUAGACUCUGUGGACAUGAUCCGUUACUCCGCCGAGGAGCUGCCGCAGGGUUGCGCGAAAAGCAUUGAGGAGUAUCUCUUCCGUGUGCACGAGCACCGCCAACAUACGGCGGCUGCGGUUCGCGAUGCGCGCUCGGAGCUGAAUGAGGCCCGCGUGCACGCCCCGAAAAAGGUCGCAGAGCUGGAGAAGCGGUUGGCUGCGAGGCAGGACGACCUGCUCGUCUACGACAUCCAGACGCUGCGCAUGUAUGGCGGGAGUGUGCCCAAGACGUGCAUUGCCGAGUCGCUGGCGUGGCUCGAUGCGCAGCCAGACGUAUCUUCGAUGAGCGAAGCCAAGCAAAGGCUCGUUUACUUCUUUCGUCUCACCUCCACGCAUUGCAGGGCGCUGUAUCUGACAGCACGUGGCGUGAUGCAGUACAUGAUCGACUCCUACACCCCCGUUGUCAAGUCUUACACGAAGUCGGUGCAGUACUACUGUGACAAGGCGAGCGCCAUAUACGCUGAACUGCUGCCUGCGUCUGGUAAGCGGCCGGAUAUACCGAUGAUGGAUCUGGCAAAGAAGGUCGCGGUUAUGGUGGGCUACGCGGCCGUGCCGAUUGGCCUCGGCGUUGCUGCUGGCAUCGUCUUUGUCGCUGUGCUGCCCCCGAUGGUGGCGGCGGUGAUCAUAUACGAGUAUGUGUACAAGAUCUGGUUGGAGCUCUUCAUUGCGUAUUACACCUACGGGGCUAAAAUGCCCGACGGCGCUGUCACCGCUGUCAAGAGCACCGUGGCCGCGCUGCGGGCAGGCGAGUGGGCUUCCAUCGGCAACAGCGUGGUAGACGCUUUAAUCGACCUCGUUGCGGAUCCAGACACCGACUUCUACAACGGCAUCCUUGCUGUUUACCUGGUUGGCAGUAUCACGGUGAUUUGUGCGACUUUCAUUUGCUUGUGGUUUUCUUGCUGCGUCCCUGGGAUGCGCGGCAAAAAGAGAGCGACGCCGCUGCAUGCGGCCUCGCGCAGUGCCGGCGACAGCAGGAACGGCAACAAGAAGGCCCCCGCCACAGGUGGUGCGGCGGCGGCGGCUGCCAAGAAGAAGAACUAGUGCUUUAUCGACGUCUCUACAUCAUGAGCUGCUCCGCAAGCCUUCUGGCUGCAAGGCAGGGCAGACUUCAGGAGACGUGUUCAAGCGAAGCGCACACGAGUGAUGUGGUAUGUGGGUGUUGGCGUAGUCUCGGCGUUCCGCUCUUGCAUACAUGCACUUACUUAUGCGGAAAGUGCCAGAAAGAAGUCGUCUUCUCACCUCUCCUCAACUCCCUCCCUUCCUUUCGCGUGUCUCUGCUGCUGCUGCUGCUUUGCAUGUUUGCGAGGCUGGUGCUCACAGUACGUGGCUCGUGUGCAUCCUUGUAUGGAGAGGAAACUUCGCUGCCUAAUGGCCAGCCUUCCCUCAUCUCGUCUUCCUCCUCAUUUUCUUUUGUAUUGGUUUGUGUCUUCUUCAUCACCUGACCCCCUACCCCUUUUUUGUGUUUGCUUCGCCUUUGGUUCUUCCCUCCCUUUUUUUUCACCUGCCCCCCUCCUCCUCCUCCUCGUCCUCCCGUGUUCCGGUGUGCAUGCGCCAUAAACGACCGCGCCACGCAGGCUUCUGGGCUUGGAGAGCUCAUCAUCGCUUUUGAGGGUUGGGUGGUGCGUGCGCGCAGCAUUCUUGUUGGUGUGGCCGCGGCACAAGCACAAGUACCCCCCCCCCCCCCCCCCCCCCCCCCAACGUCAUACGAAGGCAGCGGCGGGCGGCGGGGAAGGUGAGGAGGGCUGGUCCGUGGGCCGGUGUGUGGGUGGCAGCAGUAAGACGUACAGAAGCUGAGGAAGUAAAGAGCGAGUGAACAAUACAGUGAGCGAAAAAAAAAAUGAAGGGAGGACAACUGUCCCUUAGUUGUAGCCUCUCCUGCACCCCCACCCCAGAAGGAAACUUGUCGUCUUCAAGUGCCGUUGUUUGAUGCUUUUUUUUUCAGUUUAUUAUUAUUAGAGGAGGAGGUUGGGGGAGGGGGCUGUGUUGGCGCGUGCGUGUCCCCUCGCCAUCUCCUCUGCACCCGCUUUCUCGCAUACCAUUCCUCUUCACUGUCUCUCUCGUUCUCUCAUUCCGAGCACCAUCACCAUCGACCCCCUCCCCGCCUCCUUUUCCAAGCCCCUCUCUCAUUUUUCUUCUCCUUCCCUACCCCUUAUUUUGUUUCGCAUAUCGACUGUUUGCUGCAUGGGGUUUCUGAUGUUGUUUUGGGUGUUGCUGAUGUUGUUGUUUGUGUCUGUGGGAGAAGGGGAGGUGGACAUGUCCGGAGCUCUUUGCGCUUUUCCUGUCCGUUUUUUUUUUCUUUGCUGAUGUUGUUUUGAUUUGCUUCUCGUGUGUGUGUGUGUUCUUCCACCUUUAUCUUUAGCGGGUUGUGUGCUUGUGCAGCCGUGCGCGCGCACACACACACACACACACACGAGAAGCACGCCCACCGUUUCCACCCACAUACGUAGAGAUAAGGAUGGACGGACAAGCUCAACGCAGCGUGUGUGAGAUGUUUCAUGGCGACAUCACUCUCUCUCUUUGUAUUGUGCGCAUGGGCGGGGGCCUCCCCGCUUGCCUAGCGUCGCCAACGUUGAGUGCGCAGUAGUUUCUGCGUGCCUUCUUGUCAUUGUGCUUCUGGAAGGGAGCAGCAUGUGGUGAUCUGUGUGUCUCUCCCCUCGCUAUGUACGUGCGUGCGUGCUGUUUUGCUCAUCUGCCUCCGUCCUCCCCCUCUCCACACAAUGUGCGUCAUGCCUAAGUGUUGAGCGUAAAGCCAUGUGCGUGUGAUCUGUUUGCGGGGGUGCCGGGGGGAGGGGAGGGGAGGGGAGGGUGCUGCGCUGCCGCCACCACUACUGGGACGGGAAACGGCAAGAACAACAAAAACAAAGAGCAAAGUACUGUGCCCAACUCUUCGAUUAUUUUUCUCGUCGGGCUAAAAUAAUCACCAAGUACACAGUCCAGGCCACUGUCACUCGUCUUUCCUUGGCUGUCCAUCUCUUUGCCUGGCUAGCUCUCCUCCACACGCGCGAGACGACACACUCCCCUGUUUACUCCAACCCUUGUGUGGGCGCACUCUGUGAAGCCACGAUCCGACGAGCGGUACGAAGAAUAAUUCCAUGUCUUCACAAUAAUGCUGACGCAUGCCUGGUUGUGUGGGGCGAGGGGGCGGUGUUGGUUGUGGUGCACGCAGGAAUAGCUGAGGGAAGGAAUGCGAUGUCUGAUUGUGCUUGUGAGCGUGUGUCUAUCUCCUCGCUGCGUGUGUGUGCGUGUGUUGGAUGAAUGCAUUGAGUUCUAACAACUGCAACGAAAGAAGCGAAGAAAAAGGAUGCGCCAUGCAAACCGUGAGGCACGCACACAGACGAACAAGGAGGUGCUCCCUUCGCGUCGAGAGUGUGGAUCUCCUCCACGACGAAUUUGGUUGGGGGAGAAGGGGGGAAGAAG
rnacentral:misc_RNA from 1 species